CCUACGGGAGGCAGCAGUGGGGAAUAUUGCACAAUGGGGGAAAGCCUGAUGCAGCGACGCCGCGUGAGUGAAGAAGUAUUUCGGUACGUAAAGCUCUAUCAGCAGGGAAGAAAAUGACGGUACCUGACUAAGAAGCCCCGGCUAACUACGUGCCAGCAGCCGCGGUAAUACGUAGGGGGCAAGCGUUAUCCGGAUUUACUGGGUGUAAAGGGGGCGUAGACGGCCGCGCAAGUCUGGAGUGAAAUCCCAUGGCUUAACCAUGGAACUGCUUUGGAAACUGUGCAGCUAGCGAGCAGGUGGGGUAGGCGGAAUUCCUGGUGUAGCGGUGAAAUGCGUAGAUAUUAGGCGGAACACCAGUGGCGAAGGCGGCUUACUGGACUGUAACUGACGUUGAGGCUCGAAAGCGUGGGGAGCAAACAGGAUUAGAUACCCGUGUAGUC
rnacentral:rRNA from 1 species